rnacentral:misc_RNA from 1 species
UGCGGCCAACAGUUCUGUUUUUGACCUGCUAUAAACUGAUACAGAAGGGGGAAAAAUAAUAAAAAAAGAUCAAGCCUGGCAGAUUCGCAACCGUUAAUCUGGACUUCUUAAUUCCCAACUUCCUGUACAACGGUUUUUAACUCCCACCAACAUCCUUCCACCCAAAAAAUAGUGAAAGGAAAUGAAAAGGCAACAGAGUCCAGAAAUGAUAAUAGCUCUUGAAACUCUCUGUCUCAAGUAGAAUAAGAUAUACAGUUCUUUACACCAGCAUGCUGUGUUCUCAAUUGCAAGGAGCUGAUGAAUUGGCCAUUUCCUAUUUAAGCAGUCUUCAUUCCCAAAUGAACUUGUGCGUCGACCAGAAUCAUUACAGCUGACAGGAAAAGAUGCUGAAUUAAUGACUUGAGGUGAAAUCGUAUAGUUGUCAGGUUAAAAGCUGUAACUACUGGGGAAUAAUUUGAGUGCCGCCAAGUGCCAAAUAUUCAUAUCCUCUCCUUACAUGUCCAAUAAGCUAUUUACAGUAUGAACUCUGCAACCAAGCAUUCAGAUUCUGCUUCCAAAAAUAUCUUCCGCCAUUCAAGCUUCCAUAGGAUCCAACUUAUUC